rnacentral:lncRNA from 1 species
GUGACCCCCUGGACUAAGGCUCAAGGAGGCAGGAGUAAGUCACAGCCCCACGGGUGCAGACAGAGGAGGCCGGGGAGAGGGUGCUUCUUCCUUCUCAGGCCCGGGGCCCACCCCAUGGUACAAAAAUAAAGGAUUUCAGAUGGGAACCCCAAGUCCCUGGAGGUGAUCUGGGGCCUCACAUCCGGGUGCCUCUGGCUUGUAACAGCUAGAAAAAAAAGAGGGGAAGGGCAGGAGGAUGGGAGGGGCGGAGGUGGGGCCGGUAAGGAGGGGGUGAUGCAGGGCAAGGGGGCGGAGAGGAGAUUGACGGGUGGGGGAGAGGGAGAGAGAGAGAGGCAGUUGAGUCACAGGCUUCCUUCUGGAGGAGGGGGUGGGGCUGAGGCCCAAAGAAGGUGGAUUCAGAACUGAGUUGGGGGGAGCAGCAAGGGCUCCCCAACUAACCCAUCCAGGAGCCCCAUGCCCCGUCUUGGGCUCGGUGGCGGCCACCUACAGAGGCCAGAUUCUGCCAAGACUCUGAAGGGGGUGGGAUGGGGGUUGCUCAGGGCUGGGAGAGGCACUGAUGCCCCAGGCGAAAGAAGCCACAGGGAGCAGCUGUCUGUCCCAAUUUUAGAGGCAAUUGUGGCCCAGAGAGGGACAGUGACUUGCCCAAGGUCACAGAGCAGGCAGAAAAGAGUGGGAUAGGGGGCUUGUGGGCACAUGGCCAGGGCUUUUUCUGCCACUCUGCAAUCCUUAAGCCACUCUGGCUGACACUUCAUGGGCCAAGGGUAUCCAAAAGUGGCCUGUCCUCCCCAUCCCCACAGAAAUAGGGGAUGCCACAAGGCAGUGACACAGGAGCUCCUGGAUGUGCAGGGACUUGGCCAGGGCCUCUGGCUUCAGCGGUCCCUCCCUCCCCACCAGCCUGGCUCUGGUGCUGAUGGGCUGGUAGGAAAGUUCCCACUCCCUAACUUUCUUCUCCUCUCAGAGCCUCACCCCCAAGGCCAAGGUCGGAUGAGAAACUUUGGUGGGUGGAGAUAAUCAGCCGAAAGCUCGGCUCAAGUCCAAGGAUCAAGAGAUGAGCACCCUCCUCGCUCCACCCCUCCCUCCAGCACCGCCAAGCUACAAACCAGGGAUGGCAGCUCUGGGGGCGGGCGAGGGGCCGAGGAGAAGCCCUCACUGCAAGCUCAGCCUCAGGUCUGAGAGGGUGCGGACGGGAACCUGCAAGGAGGAAACGUGAGGAGGAGGCCGGGAGGAGAGGAGGGGGGGCAGGGCCUGCAGCCAGGGCCCAGUCUCAGAGGUGCCCGGCAGGGUUAGUGGGCACAGAGGAGGUGCAGCUGCGCCCCUCCUCCCCAGGCUGGGAGGCAGGAGGUACCAGAAGGGGCGCAGGAGGCGGCAGGCAGGACGCUC